GAUGAACGCUGGCGGCGUGCUUAACACAUGCAAGUCGAACGGAGUGGCGAACGGGUGAGUAACACGUGGGGAUCUGCCCUGUACUUCGGGAUAAGCUUGGGAAACUGGGUCUAAUACCGGUAGGUAUGGGAUGAGCUCGCGGCCUAUCAGCUUGUUGGUGGGGUAAUGGCCUACCAAGGCGACGAUCCGUAACUGGUCUGAGAGGAUGAUCAGUCACACUGGAACUUAGACACGGUCCAGACUCCUACGGGAGGCAGCAGGGGGGAAUAUUGGACAAUGGGCGAAAGCCUGAGCCAGCCAUGCCGCGUGUGUGAAGAAGGUCUUCGGAUUGUAAAGCACUUUAAGUUGUGAGGCGUUACCAACAGGAUAAGCACCGGCUAACUUCGUGCCAGCAGCCGCGGUAAUAC
rnacentral:rRNA from 1 species